UACGAAACGUCCUAACGUUGUUCGGAAUCACUGGGCUUAAAGGGUGCGUAGGCGGGCUGCCAAGUUUGAGGUGAAAUCCUCCGGCUCAACCGGGGAAGUGCCUUGAAUACUGGCGGUCUGGAGGGAGGUAGGGGCGUGCGGAACUAACGGUGGAGCGGUGAAAUGCGUUGAUAUCGUUAGGAACUCCGGUGGCGAAGGCGGCACGCUAGACCUCUUCUGACGCUGAGGCACGAAAGCCAGGGGAGCGAACGGG
rnacentral:rRNA from 1 species